rnacentral:lncRNA from 10 species
UUCACCUCUCACUGGCACUCGCCCCAGGACUUUGCAGCACCUAUCCCGGGCACUCUGGCAUCCCAGAGGGUGCUCGUCCCCCGAUCAAGCCCUGCAGGCGCCGACCGGCUGCACCGAGGGCGGGGCCCGCCGAGUCCGCGCCCACCUGGAACCUCCGCAGGCCUGCGAGGGCCGCGCGCCACCCCGGUUCCCGUCUGCGCCUCCACACCUCCCCGCCAGCAGAGGGAGCCGGCUCCCGCCUCGGCCAGCCCCAGAGAGCGGCCGCCACAGCGCAGCGGCAGGGUGAAGGGCUCCUCCAGCGCGACCCGAGACGCCGAGGCCGAGGAGGCGCGGAGAGCGAGCGAAGGCUGCUAGCAAGUUGUCAUCUCUCAAUAGUUUUCUGGAAAGUGGGGCCAAAAGAGCUGUUUGGAUAAGCUCUUUGCCGAAGAAUAACGUGAGAAGGAAUUAUGUCUCUGAAUACUUUCUUACCCCAUCAAAUAUGAGCAGAACAUGAAGAGGGCAUAAAUGAUGAAG